CCACUGUGUAGGGAAUAAAAGUUCAUGCACAUUCAAGAAGAUAACGACUUGUCUCUUUUGGACUGCAAAUGAUUCCCAAGGAAGUCAGCUGCAGCUUCUGUAGUGACAGUGAGACAGGAGCUGCAUUGCUGCCCACUGUUGCAGCCAUAGCUUGGAGAUUGGAUUUCAGAGGAUUCUGAGUGUUUUGGGAACAAUGUCCUGGAAUGGCCUUCCAGACAGGUGGUGAGUAGAAAAGACUAAAACAUUGCUAAGAGUAGAGUUUUUCAUGUUUAGAGAAGAGACAGUUCAGGACUGAAAAGUGAAAGCUCGGAAGUAGGUGAUUUAUUGGUAUUUCCAAGGGGUUGUGUGAUUUCUGUUUGUUGAUCAUUUGUUUUAUACUAUAUUUAUACUGGCCAGGAAGGAAUUCCCACUUCCUUGACUGCCUUGAUGUAUACCUUGGCCUCUAGUUUGUUUAUUUGUUUGCAUUCCUUUGAAGACUGGCCAUGGCUAGAAACAGGUGAAUGGGUGCAGUAAUAACAGCUUCCAGGUGCUUGUGUGGCUUCUGCUCCUCACACACCAUCAAACCCAUGUGCUGAUCUGGCAUCAAAAACCACUGCCCUCUUCCCACAAGUUGUACUGGCAUGGCAUUUUCAAUUUUUGUGUUUUGCUUUUCUCUGUAAUGGAUUUAACCUUACAAAUCACCUGCUGUGACGAGGACUAUGGACAAUAGCAAUGCCUUUGUUUGACCUCCUCAUUCCCUUGUCACAUUAAUCAUCAUGACUUCCAGUCCUUUUCUGUUGGUCUUAAGUUUGCUAUAGAGUUAUAAGAACUAUUCAGAAAGGAUAAAAAUAUAAAAAGGCCUUUUGUUCAGCUGCAGCUUCUGUAACCACUUUAUGUUUUAUGACCAUGAAAUCUGUACAAGAAAUCCUUGUCAUUUGACUUCUUUAUCUUAGAGCCUGC
rnacentral:lncRNA from 1 species